UCCAGCAACAGGUGACUGACUGGCCAUAGCUGCCCCGGAGAAAAUGUGCGGGGACCUGAAACAGACAGCUGACAAAGCAAACUUCCUAGGCAGACAAAUCGGCCUGGAGCCAGUUAAUUCGGAAAUAUGUACUCCAGUUCAACAUAACACUGCAGGAACUUCAAGUUAAUGACCCAGUAAUGAGUGGCACAGCUAUUAUGUGUCUAGCGUGAGUCAAAGUUGCUAACUGACGUUAGCAGGGCAGCGGAGUUAGCCUCCCUGAUAAGCUCGUAGCUAUCCAGCUGUGUCCAUCGGUCCAUCACCACUAGAAGCAGCAACACCAACAGUGAAAAGAACCGGAGAUAACAAAGCAGACAAACGCCAUAUUCCCCGAGUGAAGCCAAAAGGAGGCAGUAACCCGCCCGGGAGUUACUGUAAAUUAUCCGGGGGAAACUGGAAGAGGACAGAGGCUCCGGAGCAGCUUCCCCCUUCUUCCUGUCAUGGACAAAGUCUCAACGUUAUGGGAGACAAACGACAAAACGAGACCGAAACACAGCAAUCAACAAAGUGCAGUGGGGAACAGUUGGAGGCGCACACUCAGCUCAGACCGGCUUCAGGACUGUUCAUUCAACUGGAGUAGUGACAAAACUACAAGAUCCCAACAUGUGCACUGACACUUAUGUAUAUGUGGUCUUAUUUUUCUGUGAAAGGACUUUAUUCCCUAACAGUCAAAAUGACAGUGUGUAAAUGCAGAUUUCAACAUGGAUCCAUGCAUUCAUACCAAUUUGAAUGAUUUCCAGCAUAUACUUUAUUACAUAUAUAGAGAAGUCCAGUGCUAAAGAUGCACAUUCCAAGUAUCAUAUGCACAUUUUCUGCUUUUACAAUACCAAGUCUAAGAACACUUAAUGCAGCUUCAAAUAUUGAGUGAGAUUUGACAACUGCAUAGUAUGGAGGGGAAAAAACCUUUAAAAUCGAAUAUUGUGAAUAUUUGUCACAGCUUUGGAAAUAAUUAUUAAACCAUCCGAAGUGGUUAAAUAACUAUAUUUUAUAAAAGGCAUGAAAAAAGACCUAGAAUAAUCCAAUACAUGCAAUAAAUGUUUAAAAUUAUGGUGUACUGAAAUGGUAAAAAAAAAUUCAGUGAUGAAACAGUGAUGGCCGAAAACAAAUUUUGAAUCGUUAUUUUUUUGCAUAAGUUGUAUACAUAAACAGAUAAUUCAAACAAAAGAAAAUUGUGAGAUGACCAGAAGAUAGUCAUCUUGGUGUUUAAUGGAGAUGGACAACAAAGAGCCAUCACUAACUGGCUUGAAAUCAGCAAAGCAGCUGUCCCUUGCACCCUUAAGAAGGAAGCAUAGUGUGGCUCCACCAAAAAUACAAAGGAAGAGGGAGAAAACAGUGGUCUAAUAAUUAAUACUCCAAAGCUGUGUAUUAACGUGACUUUAAACCAGGCAUUAUUAGGUCCUGUGACUAAUGUUGUCUUGCAUUGCAGUUUCCAUCUAUUAAAGUUAAAAUGUAUUUGUUAUGAG